rnacentral:lncRNA from 10 species
CCUGCGGUCAGGUGAGGAGAGUUCUUCGCCUCGCGCCAGGAUUCUGAGGCCUCCCCAGCCAUGUGGAACUCAAUAUCCGGAGAGAGAGAGAGAGAUUCCUGUAGAAUACAAGACAAGACUAUCACAAUGAGCUGAAAUGUUGGGUCUGUGAAAGUAAUGAGAAGCACAGUGGAAAUAAGUUUCUGAAGGAUGGAAGAGGCUGGAGGCUGGCUAGUGGGAGAAGGUUCCCAGACACGUGAGAGACCCAGCAACAGAGUGCCACAUCAUUGUUAUUCCCCCAAGAUCCUGGAUUCCAGACAGCCCAGUGGAGCACCAUAGAAAGAACUUUCAGGAAGCAGAGAAUGGUUCAGGGAUUCUGAUUUUCCUGAACUUCCUCCUCCCUAUCCACCUCCAAUUAGGAAAAAAGAAGAAAAAAAAGAUUAAACACGUCCAGAAUGUUAAAAAUCCAGUAGGGAUUUUAAAUGUUCACUAUUACAGCACAUACAUUUAUACACAAGGAGGUCUGAAGGCUUUCUGGUUUCAAUUAAGAUUAUUAUCUCCUUUGAGUGAUGGUUUCUCCUUUUUUCCCCCAGAAUUCCCUUUGGCUGAUCUAUUUUAAAAGAGUAUGAGCUAGGGAUAACUAGGCUUAUUUGUAUUGAGUCUACUUUCCCCUCCAGGUCUCUUUGUCUUAAAUUCUGAAGUCCCUUUUCCUAUCCUGCUAAAGGUUAGCAGCUUGAAAUCAAGGACAUGAGUCAUUGUUACUUUUCAUGUGGAAGAUAAGCUCUGUGGCUUUUAUAGCAAAAAGUAUAUACAAUUCUAAAAUUAAAGUGCAAGUCAGAAAGGCCAUUGGGGCUGUGAAAAGUCCUUAUCUAAAUCAGAAGACCAAGGUCAAGUUUGUAUCAUGCCUAUUAGUACAUGGGUUUCAUUGGUUAAGUUACCAAACCUCUGAGCCUCAGUUUCCUUAUCAGUCAAAUGAGUGCAAUAAUUCCCGCCCUAUCAUCUGACAAAUUAUUGAGAAAUUCUAAUUACAUGCCUAUAAUUUUCAGGUCUUUGUUUUUCAGGUCUUUGUUAAGCAUCAUGCACAUAAACGUUUGUAUUACACUUUCUUUAGCAGUAUUUGAACAUGGUACCUUAUUCAAUGUUCUGAAACAAAUCAUGAAUACUUCCUGGUGUGGUGAUAAUAUCUUCAUAAACUUGUGACACCCGAUGGAAUGUGAGUCGGUUUUGUAAUAGCCUUUAAAAACUUCCCUCAAUACAUAAUAAAGAAUGGUAAAAAAUUUUGGUUGAGGAAACUAAUGAUACAUCCAAAAUAACACAUUCAGUUUUCCAGUGAAGAAUAUUCUCAAAGUAAAAUGCUGUUUAGACUUACUUAAAGGUUCUUAAAACAAGUUAUACAAAGGGAUAGUAUUGAAAUCCAUCUUUUAAUAGAUAUAUACUAGUAAUUAUGUUGAAGACCCAGGAAAAUACUAUUAAUAGGUGUGAAAUUUAAAUCACACUAAUUAGUACUUUAAAAUAUUAUUCCUUCACGUUAUUUUAAAGAAGCUUUUCCUACAUGUGUGACCUAUUCUGUCAAACACAGCCAUGAAUAUCUAGUAUACUAAAUUGGUCCUAUUCUGACUCCAAUUUUCAAACACUUUUAACAUAGGACUAUAGAGUUCAUAUUUACAAAGUGUGUGCAUGCCUAUGUGUAUCACUAAUAUGUAGUAUAUGCAUACUAAAUAUGCACAUGGGUAUUUCAAACUCUGUUGGCUUGACUCUAAAUGUUCAGCUAUCGAUGUUAUUCUUGGUAUUUAGAGGUUUUAUUUAUAUAUUUAUCUUUCUUGACUUUCCCACUGGGAGGUGUCUUCUGAUAUUUCAGCCUCUAGCAUCUCAGUCCCAUACAUUCAGCCCUCACUGGGAAGUUUAAUUCCAGGUUACUAAUUUCAGAGCAUCCCAAAGAUGCUGUUUAGCUAGGUAGUGCCUUAAUAUAUCUUAGAAUUAAAAGAAAAUACUUUCUGUCUCUCAGGGCAUUUGAAAGCUCAAACUCUCCUCUUUGAACUUCCCUCUCUCAUUAUAUUGCCAUCACAAAUCUUUGUCCAUCACUAGGUGGUACAACUCCCCCUCCCCUCACCUGCCUCACACACAUAUGACCUACAGUGGAAAACUGAGCUCCAGAUGGUUCAUGGACUUGCCCAAAGUCACCUGUACCAUUGCUGACUUGGAACUUGAAUGUCCAAGCCUUCUAAAUCCUCAUCUGCAUUUUUCACAUUAGAGAAUUUUGAUCUCUGACUUCCAACAGUUAUUUCAGGAGAGGAAAAUGCAUGGCUUCACUAUCCAAUGGACUAAAAAAUUGAGUAAGGGAUAGAACAUAUUUUACACUCCAACUUGAAAACUUGUCGUAAUGAUGCUCUUCCAGCAUGAAGAAAUUAAAAUUGGCCUUCCUCUUCGUUCUCCUGAAUUGUUCACUGUAACUGAGUGGAGAUAUUUUAGGAGGGUUCUUACUGUGGCUUCUGAAGACCUUUUUCAGAAUAAGGUCUUUUUUUCAAAAACACCACACAAAAUACAAUACAAAAAUACAAUACAAAAAUUUUCAAAAAUACAGUAUUAGUUUGAAGCUUGGUAAGUUUUGACUAUUGCCUAUACCUAUGUAACUGCUACCUAAAACAAGAUAUAGAAAUAUUCUAACUUCCCAGAGAGAUUCUUCAUGCCCCUUUCAUUCAGUGUCAUCCCAGACCCCACAAAGGCAAUUCCUUCUGAUGGUAUGUAUGUAUUCUUUAGUGUCUGAUAUUUUUUAGAUUUAUUUAUAUUGUCAUAUGUAUCAGUAGGCCAUUCAUUUUUGUUGUUGAUGAAUAUUUCAUUGUGUGAAUAUGCUGCAAUUUGUUGAUUCAAAUACCUCCUGAUAGUUGUUUUCCGUUUGGGGCUGUUAAGAAUAAGGCUUCCAUAAACUUUCUUGCCUAAGUCUUGCAUGCAUUGAUGUUUUUAUUUCUCUUGCGUACAUAGCUGGGAUUCAAAUUGUUGGCUUAUAGGUUGUAUCUAUGCUUAGUUUAUUUUUAAAAUUGCCAGAGUUUUUGAAGCCUGCCUCUACAAGCAGUGUGUGAGAAGUUUAGCUACUUCAUUACCUCCAAACCAUUUGGUAUUAUCAGUCUUUUUAUUUAUCUCAAUUGGAAAAUAUUAAAUGGCUUUAUAUUAUGGCUUAAAGUUGCAUUUACCUGGUAACUGAGUGCCUUAUCUUGAGCUUCUUGUCUAUUCAUGCAUUUUUUUGGUGAUUAUGUGUUUAAGUCUUUUGCCCAUUUAAAAUUGGAUUUUUUUUGUUAUGGCUUUAUAGGAAUACAUCAUGUAUUCUGCAUAUAAUUUAUUUAUCCAAUAUUAUAUAUUGAAAAACUUUUCUUCUUGUCUGUAAUUUGCCAGUUUAUUUUGUUAAUGGUGCUUUUUAAUGAGUGUAUCUUUUUAAUUUUGAUGAAGUCUUAUCCUAUUUGUCUUUUAUGAUUAGUGAUUUUUAUUUGUCUAUUUUUGUCUGACCCAAGAUUAAAAAGGUACUUCCUAUAUUUUCUUCUAGAAGUUUCAUGGUUCCAGCUUUCCCAUUUCAGACUCUGUAACAUCUCAAGUUAACUUUUGUGCCUGGAAUGAGUUACAGGUCAAUAAUUACAUUGUUUAUUUGAGAAUCUAACACCAUUGUUUGAAAAUAAUAUCCUUACCUCAUUCAUUUGACUUGGCACCUGAAUAAGUCAUCUUUAAUACUGAGAAAUGGUAUUGCUGGUCUUUCAUGCAUUUUCUGAGACAUGUAGAUGACUUCAUGGAUACUUAAAAUAUUAUGGGUCUAUCACUGUGCCUUUGCACAUAAACUUUUUUCUGCCCAAGAUGCCAUUCUUCUUAUUAUUUUGUGUUUACUACCCAAAACACAGCUUAGUAGUCUCAGACACCUUCGUUAAUUUUUCCCAUAUGGUGCAACUAAAUGCCUCUGUUGGGCACAGUGAAUUGCUCUAUCAAAAUAUUUGUCUUAUGACUUGCUAAUUUUCUCUUUACUUGACUUUCUCCCCAAGCAGACAGUGAUUUACUUGAAAACAGGUCUGCUUUUUUAUCUCUGUAUCUUUAUUACUCAGCACUGUGACAGGAAAAAAAAGAUAGCCACUCAAUUUAUGAUUUUAAUCAAAUUUGAUGGUCCUGAUAUUCCACAGGAGCAAUGUAAGAUAGUAAAAGAAAUCCAUAUACUUUGGAAGGAUAUAAUUUUGAUUUCAAAUAUUGGUUCUGCUACUCACUAGCUGUUUGAAUUGAGGCAAGUUAUUUAAUUUCAAAAUCUUAGUGUAUUAAUCUAUAAUAUGAAGCUGUGUAGAACUUCAUUUGGAAUAUUUACAAUAAAUAAAAGAAAUAGUGUCCAGUACAUACAGUGUAUAGUAGCUGCUAAAUAAAUGGAGUGAGUGUAUUAUUAUUUUAGCAUUAAAAGGGCAAAUGAAAGGCUUGUGUUGAGCUCACUAAUUACCUGCUAUGGUAUCCAGGGACUCUUAAUGACUAAGUAUAAAAUGCCAUGUUAUCUUCUUUUCAUAAACACACAGAGUAACAAUUUGGGUGCAGUAUUCAAGGUAUUGCUUCACAUAGAAUCUGUUCUUUAUCUGUCAAAUCACAACAAAAGCACUGAACCCUAGCAGACAUCAAUUCUUGGAAUCAUAAUAUUACAUCACUGUGGAAAUUAGCCAAGUAAGAAUGUACUCCAAAUUUCAAAGUUGUAACUCUAUAGAUGUCUUGGAGACAUGAUAUAUGAAAGAAUAAAACAUGUCAUAGGAACCCCGGAGAUAUGGUUACAGCUCUAAUUCACAUUAACUUCCAAAGAAGGCACUUUAGCUAUUAGGCAGUUCCACUAAAAGUCAUAUUCCUAGGACUACUCCAGAGAAUUUAUCCUGCUUACCACGCUUUCCUUGGGUUAUACAUUUUGGUCCCAUCCAUCCCACUUAUAGGCACUUGAGAAGCUUAGAGAAUUACAGUAUUUUCUCUUGGAAAUGCUUUUAAGUAGCAUUUUAAAUACAUGAUUUUCCAACAUCCCUCCCACUUAUGGCACCCAUAUAGUACCCAGUGUACAUAUCAUUUCCCUGCUGAUUGGCUUUCAUGUGUUCCAAAUGCUUUUCUAAAUUGACCUGAUACCUAUUAAACCUGAAGUGGACUUUUAAGAUCUGAAGAACAUUUAAUCAAUGGGACAUUAAAGUAAAUAAAUCAUAGCUGAGAGGAGUUCCUUCAAAUGAUAUAAUCUUUAAUGAGCAUUGCACUUGAUUUAAUAAUUUAUUAAAUAUAUAAAAAAUGAUUGGUAAAUUGAACACUUGUCUCAGAGCAAGC